UACGUAGGGUGCAGGCGUUAAUCGGAAUUACUGGGCGUAAAGCGUGCGCAGGCGGUUCGUUGUGUCCGUCGUGAAAGCCCCGGGCUUAACCUGGGAACUGCGAUGGAAACUAGCGAGCUGGAGUGUGGCAGAGGGGGGUGGAAUUCCGCGUGUAGCAGUGAAAUGCGUAGAGAUGCGGAGGAACACCGAUGGCGAAGGCAGCCCCCUGGGCUAACACUGACGCUCAGGCACGAAAGCGUGGGGAGCAAACAGG
rnacentral:rRNA from 1 species